rfam:Kordia algicida OT-1 1103813601120 genomic scaffold, whole genome shotgun sequence.
ACGGUGGCAUCCGAAAAACCAACUAACAAUAGAGUAGGAA